CCCAGACUCCUACGGGAGGCAGCAGUAGGGAAUUUUGCGCAAUGGGCGAAAGCCUGACGCAGCAACGCCGCGUGAUCGAGACGCCCUUCGGGGUGUAAAGAUCUGUCAGUGGGGACGAAACUUGACGGUACCCACAGAGGAAGCACCGGCUAACUACGUGCCAGCAGCCGCGGUAAUACGUAGGGGGCAAGCGUUAUCCGGAUUUACUGGGUGUAAAGGGAGCGUAGACGGCAUGGCAAGUCUGGUGUGAAAGGCAGGGGCUCAACCCCUGGACUGCAUUGGAAACUGUCAGGCUGGAGUGCAGGAGAGGUAAGUGGAAUUCCUAGUGUAGCGGUGAAAUGCGUAGAUAUUAGGAGGAACACCAGUGGCGAAGGCGACUUACUGGACGAUAACUGACGUUGAGGCUCGAAAGCGUGGGGAGCAAACAGGAUUAGAUACCCGCGUAGG
rnacentral:rRNA from 1 species